rnacentral:misc_RNA from 1 species
AAAAAACUCUAUUAGAUUUUGACAAAGCAAUUUCACACAUACAUACAAAUGUCUGAAUUCUGAGCACUAUAAUUGCCAAUUUAAAAGAAAGCCAUUUGUAGAGAAUCCAAAUAUUCUCAAAAUAAAUUUGUAAAGAAUAUCCAAAGAAAGAAAUGGGUUAAAAAAAAAGACAAGAAUUGUAGGAAUUUCCAUUAUUAGAUAUAAAACUUUAAUUACAUUUCACUAUUUUUUUCUUUCUCCAACACAUUCAUGGAAGCAUGGUUGUUAUCUCCUUAUUAGACUCACCAUUGUCAAAUUAAUGAAAUGAAUCCUACAAUUGUCAUUGAGCAAGUGUUUUCCACUAUAUAUCAUCUAAUAUUGCAUAGUAAAAUUCCCAUCAAUUCCCCCAUUAACCCUAAUCACCUAACAUCAGGCCAAUUACUAAUCAUCGCCUUGGUAAGUUAUUGCUUCACUAACUAGAUAAUCAGACGUGAAUCCCUUCUCAAGCAGAUUCUUCUUUUUGUUUCUAUCAACCUAUUAAUAGUCGUUUCUAAUUGUUGUUCUCUCCCCACCACUUAUAUUAAAAUUUUAUUUUUUAUGUAAAUUUAUGUAAGUUGUCUGACUUAAUUUUUGUUUUUCUUGUAGAUUCAUUUGGAUUUGUCUAUUG